rnacentral:rRNA from 1 species
CAUAUCCUACGGGACGCAGCAGUGAGGAAAAUUGGUCAAUGGGCGGAAGCCUGAACCAGCCAAGUCGCGUGAGGGAAUAAGGCCCUACGGGUCGUAAACCUCUUUUGCCGGGGAGCAAGGGCCGGGACGCGUCCCGGCCCGGAGAGUACCCGGAGAAAAAGCAUCGGCUAACUCCGUGCCAGCAGCCGCGGUAAUACGGAGGAUGCGAGCGUUAUCCGGAUUUAUUGGGUUUAAAGGGUGCGUAGGCGGGCUUUUAAGUCAGC